AAUAGAUACCCUGGUAGUCCACGCCCUAAACGAUGUCAACUAGCUGUUGGGGCCUUCGGGCCUUGGUAGCGCAGCUAACGCGUGAAGUUGACCGCCUGGGGAGUACGGUCGCAAGAUUAAAACUCAAAGGAAUUGACGGGGACCCGCACAAGCGGUGGAUGAUGUGGAUUAAUUCGAUGCAACGCGAAAAACCUUACCUACCCUUGACAUGUCUGGAAUGCCGAAGAGAUUUGGCAGUGCUCGCAAGAGAACCGGAACACAGGUGCUGCAUGGCUGUCGUCAGCUCGUGUCGUGAGAUGUUGGGUUAAGUCCCGCAACGAGCGCAACCCUUGUCAUUAGUUGCUACGAAAGGGCACUCUAAUGAGACUGCCGGUGACAAACCGGAGGAAGGUGGGGAUGACGUCAAGUCCUCAUGGCCCUUAUGGGUAGGGCUUCACACGUCAUACAAUGGGUCGGGACAGAGGGUCGCCAACCCGCGAGGGGAGCCAAUCCCAGAAACCCGAUCGUAGUCUGGAUCGCAGUCUGCAACUCG
rnacentral:rRNA from 1 species